rnacentral:lncRNA from 1 species
CCAUAUUUCUCUUCUUCUCCAAUUACCAGAGCUUUCUCUGCUCCAACCCAUAUCCCAAUUUUCAGAACUUGCACGGCCAGUUUGCUAUUGCAAAACUGGUCGGAGGAAAGUGGCCAGGUGAUCAGCGGCACGCCGGCACUGAUACCUUCAAUGGUGGAAUUCCAUCCACAGUGAGUUAAGAAUCCUGCAAUGGCGGAAUGCGACAAAAUCACUACCUGUGGAGCCCAGCCCUUUAUCAAAACACCUCGUCCUUUGAUUCUCUCCUCGAAACCAUUUUCUGAAAUCAAUUUCUCUACUUCGUCUAAUCCAUUCCAAUCUCUUAUGACCCAAAUGAACGGCUUGUUUGAUGCCUCUAAACCCAGUCCCAGUUCCAUUAUCUGUUCAGGCGGUAGAGUACUUAGGCUUCCUAGACAAACGUAGAUUACAGAACUUGGUUCCUGAGCGUCAAGCCAUGUCAACCAUUGGUGUGGGUCGACUGUACUUUUCUUCCCUCUUUCUGCCUUGUCCAAUUCAUUCUUGUUACAGAGCGAAAGAGGCCCGACGCACCAGAUUUUUUCCCCUCGUGCCUUUCUGUAUUCUCUGGUAUACUCCGGUUCUAGCUCUUCAAAAGUAUUUAUAAUCUCCCCAUAUGCUGCAGUUGCUUUUGCUCCUAUUUUCUUCAUCGUCUCCAUGAAGUCCUCGUCCUUGAAGAAUGGUAACUGAGCUUUAGUAAGUUCCACUUUAUCAGGCAAGUUUGUCAGAACAAAAUACUCCGACUCAGAUUUCACGGUUUCAUGGAUUUUGCUGACGAGGAAAUCGUGCAUGCACAUCAGAAAAAAGCAACUCACUGGACGAAACACAAUUCUUGGUACUCUGAACUUGUCGGCAAUAUCGCUGGUAUAUCCAAUUAGAAAAUCAGAUAUGAUGCAGCAAGGUGGCGGUGUUAGCUUCUCGAACAAUUCAUGAACGGGUUCUUCAAGCAAGUCAACUGCUCUGAAGAAAUUCGGAAAUAAGUUAUUUGACUCCAAGGUAUCCAAGUUCUCGAGUCCUUCUGGUAGUCCUGCCUCUGCGCAUGGAAACGGGAGCUGGACCAGAUUGAUUUUGAGACAAGAUCUUACAGCUCGGGAGAUGACUGGUUCUAAUCUUGAAGCAUUGAGAGGGGUUGUAACGAUGGUGAUGAAUGCACCCAGUUGAGCUAAGAGUCUAGCCAGGUCAAUCAUGGGGAUCAUGUGGCCUUGAGCCAUGAAGGGGAACAAGACAAAGUGAAGCUUCUGGUUGUGAUCUUGGGUAUCCAUGGCGUGUCUUAUUGAUAAAAAAGGGAGGUUUUGGACUAUUUAAGGAUCAAAUUAACUUCGUCAAGAAACAUAUAUAAUAUAUAUAACGAAGGUUUAGGAACAAACAAUAUGUAUAUCUACAUAGCCGGUGGUGAGUGGUGAUGCAAGAGGUAACAUACGUACAGAAGAAACAUCUUGAUUUAUAUGGAUCAGCUUAAUUUUUUUGAAAAAUAUUUAUUUACACCUAUAAUUACAUAUAAAUUUUUUAAAAGAUCAUCACCUCAUGUUAGGUAUAUAUCGUAGAAUUUUUCAAUCUCAACAGCGAGAGGCAUAACCGAAAUAAUGAGACAUGAAAAUCAUAUACAUGGCUUAAACUGCAAGAAAUCUUGUUCUAUAGUGUGAUCUAAUAAAAGGAUAGAUAUAUAUAUUUAUAAUAACAUAAAUUUUUUAAUAAAAAUAUAUCACUUAAAUUUAAAUUCUUACUCUCGUAAAAAAAAAAAUAAAAGUAUUAAUAUUCAAUUAAAAUUAUGUUUNNNNNNNNNNNNNNNNNNNNNNNNNNNNNNNNNNNNNNNNNNNNNNNNNNNNNNNNNNNNNNNNNNNNNNNNNNNNNNNNNNNNNNNNNNNNNNNNNNNNNNNNNNNNNNNNNNNNNNNNNNNNNNNNNNNNNNNNNNNNNNNNNNNNNNNNNNNNNNNAUUGACGUUUGUACAAAAUUAAAAGGAUUAACGUGUUCCAAAUAAUUGCAUGGUUACUAGUCAAUUAAGAGCUAGUUGACUCGAAUUAUAUAUAAUUAAAAUUAAUUAAUUAUAUAUACACACCAUUAAGAGGGUUGAAGACUUUAUUUAUCACGUGAAUGGUUUUCCAAAAAGAAAAAAGAGGAUUCAUGCGGCUGAUAAUUUACGUACCAUGCAAGCAAUGUUAUAGGAAAGUGUAGUGUAUAUAUUUAUUAGCUUAAAAAUUAAAAAUACUAAUAACCAAUACAAGUAAUAAGAUUGUGACUUUAUAAAUAGUAUUAGAGUUAGAACACAACAUCAGAACAGAUCUAAUUCUGAAUAUUUAUUUCUGACAUGGGAGUUUGUAACAUUCAAAAUAUUAGUUAUAUUUAUAACUAAUAUAACACAUUAGUUAUACAUUAAGAUCAUACUAGAUACGUGUAUAUAUAUAUAAUGGUAGUAGUUCAUCAGUGAAAUAUCAGGAGAGAAAAAAUGGUGAUUUUCAGAACAAGAAAUCAGAUUUAGUUCACCAACCGUCCUGAUCAUUCACUCUAAUUUCUUCUGUGUUUACUCCUUUCUGCAGUAUAAUGUUUCAAUGCGUGUACUUGUUUCCAGUGUUUAAACACAAGAUUUGACUCAAUUCCCCGUUUCAUUUUGCAGUAACACACACACACGUACAUAUAUAUAUAUAAAGGCAUAUGUGAAAAGAAGAUUCCCACAAAUAACUGAAUAAGACCAGACUGCUGGUGGGUUUGUGGCCAUACUGCGUCAAAAUAAUUGAAUUCUAUAUAUACCAUAUGUUGAGAAUCAAUUUGUUUUCCAAAAAGCUGUGUGCUUUUUCAUCCAUUCAAACUCUUGGAUUCCCAAGAUGAUAAAAAGAAAAUUUCAAUUUGUCUUGUUUCUGUUCAUGGCUCAAGACCACAUGAUCCCACGGGAUAUUUGGAUGUGGCCGACGCCAUUAUCAUAAGACCUGUUAAUGCAGCCAGAUUUUAACUGAUCCAUGACAGCGAUGUGCAGGCUGGCUUCGGUGUCCAUUUUUACCCACUGCUUCAUUUACUUGCCUCGAAGAUUCGACACAGUGAAAUUGGAUUCAAGGGUACUUUCUUUUAACAAACCUGACUGAGAAAGUUGAACUAAAGAAAAAACCCAGAUAAUAUUUUUAAGAGUUAAAGAAGAGCGACUAUAAAUACUUUUGAAGAACUGGGGCUAGAAUAGAUUAGAUGAAGCGGAGAAAUGGAUUUUAGAGGCUGGGUUUGAGGAGAGGUUUGAACGGAGACGUAUUUUUUGGUAAAAGGGUAGAUCUCCACAACUACUGGAUAUUGUCUCACUCUGUAAUUGCAGAAUUUUUAACGCACAAGUAUUGGAUAUCAAAAAGGCUGUCAACAAUGUGAUUGGAUAAAAGGUGCAGAAGGAGGAAGAAGAGAACUGAGCUUGAGAACUUGCAAAAAUUGACAGAGAAAGCUGUUGAAGACAGAGUAUCUUCUCACUUUAACAUCACUAUGUUAACCAAACAUAAAAUGCAACAAGAAUCUUCCUGAUUUGAAAGUUUAAUUUUAUGAUUGAAUUUCAACCACACUGCAUUAAGAAUGUUGCAAUGGCCGGGUGUGGCAAUAUCAGUACUUAUGGAGCUCAACACUUUACUUGAUCCUCUCUCCGAAUCCAUCCUCUGAAACCCAUUUCUCGAUUUCAUCAAUUCCAUUCAAGACUCGUAUGACCCAAAUGAAUGGCCUGUUUGAUUCCUCUAACCUUAUUCCCCUGCUCAAUUAAUUGUGCAGCUGGUGCAUUACUGAGGCUUCUAAGACAAACAUACACUACAGAGCUUGGCACCUGAGAGUCAAUCCAGUUCAAGCAUUGUGAUGUGAGCACGGAUAGUUUGGACUAUUGAAGAAACUUUAAGACAAGAUCAAAGUAAUUUGAUUGGAUUUGGAUCUUUGGGAAGAGCAUUAUGAUGCCUAGCGAGCCUAUUACGAGGAAGGGCCAAAAGACUUAAACAAGCAUUCCAACUCUUUGUUCAAGAAUGGAUAAGUGAUGCUGAAUAAAUUAUUCAAAAUUAUGUUAGUAUUAAUUUUUCAUCGUCAACUUGCUUGCUGCUGCAUAAUAUCUUGAAUAAACAUAAUGAUGUUAAGGUGAGAAGAUCCUCCUUCUUCAACACUUCUCUUCGCCAUUUCUGCAAGCUUCUUUGCUCGUUGUCUUCUUCCAUCUCCUUCCUCACCUCUAUCUAUCACUUUCUCUAUCACAUCUUUAAUCACUUCCUUCUUUACACACACCCCAUAUUUCUCUUCUUCUCCAAUUACCAGAGCUUUCUCUGCUCCAACCCAUAUCCCAAUUUUCAGAACUUGCACGGCCAGUUUGCUAUUGCAAAACUGGUCGGAGGAAAGUGGCCAGGUGAUCAGCGGCACGCCAGCACUGAUACCUUCAAUGGUGGAAUUCCAUCCACAGUGAGUUAAGAAUCCUGCAAUGGCGGAAUGCGACAAAAUCACUAC